rnacentral:rRNA from 1 species
CUCUUCUAGUAUGAUAUUAGAAGUAGGCCCUGCCCGGUGCCUUGCGAGGUAAACGGCGGUGUUAAACCUUAAAGUAGCGUGAUAAGUCGGCCUUUAAUUGGGGUCUGGUAUGAAAGGGUUGACGUCGGAAAAACUGUCUCGGAAGAAUUAAGUGAAAUUUACUUUUAAGUGAAAAGGCUUAAAUUUAAGUAAAAGACGAGAAGACCCUGUCGAGCUUGAGGGAUUUGAAUGUUUAUCAAACAUGAUUAGGAGUUUGGCUGGGGCAGCAAUGGAGGUAGCCUCCGUUUUUAGCGCAAAGAUCCAUUUAUCUAAGAUAAUGAAAAAGAAAAAAGCUACCGCAGGGAUAACAGCACAAGACCGCCUCAGAGGUCGUAUCGAAGGCGGUAAGUGUGACCUCGAUGUUGGAUUAGGGUAAACCUCUUUGUGCAGGAGCAAAGCGGGUAGGACUGUUCUUCCUUUAAUCCCCU